CCUACGGGAGGCAGCAGUGAGGAAUAUUGGACAAUGGGCGAGAGCCUGAUCCAGCCAUGCCGCGUGCAGGAAGACUGCCCUAUGGGUUGUAAACUGCUUUUAUACAGGAAGAAUAAGCCUUACGUGUAAGGUGAUGACGGUACUGUAAGAAUAAGGACCGGCUAACUCCGUGCCAGCAGCCGCGGUAAUACGGAGGGUCCGAGCGUUAUCCGGAAUUAUUGGGUUUAAAGGGUCCGCAGGCGGUCAAUUAAGUCAGAGGUGAAAUCCCAUAGCUCAACUAUGGAACUGCCUUUGAUACUGGUUGACUUGAAUCAUAUGGAAGUAGAUAGAAUGUGUAGUGUAGCGGUGAAAUGCAUAGAUAUUACACAGAAUACCGAUUGCGAAGGCAGUCUACUACGUAUGUACUGACGCUGAGGGACGAAAGCGUGGGGAGCGAACAGGAUUAGAUACCCUGGUAGUCCACGCCGUAAACGAUGGAUACUAGUUGUUGGGCAUUAGCUCAGUGACUAAGCGAAAGUGAUAAGUAUCCCACCUGGGGAGUACGGUCGCAAGACUGAAACUCAAAGGAAUUGACGG
rnacentral:rRNA from 1 species